rnacentral:rRNA from 1 species
GAUGAACGCUGACGGAAUGCUUAACACAUCAAGUAUACUUAAUUUUGAGUUUUUAACUAAGAUUUGGGUGGCGGACGGGGUGAGUAAAGCGUAAAGAACUUGCCUCACAGCUAGGGACAACAUUUAGAAAAGAAUGCUAAUACCUAAAUAUUAUGAUAAUAGGGCAUCCUAUAAUUAUGAAAGCUAUAUGCGCUGUGAGAGAGCUUUGCGUCCCCAUUAGCUAGUUGGAGAGGUAACGGCUCACCAAGGCGAUGAUGGGUAGCCGGCCUGAGAGGGUGAUCGGCCACAAGGGGACUGAGACACGGCCCUUACUCCUACGGGAGGCAGCAGUGGGGAAUAUUGGACAAUGGACCGAGAGUCUGAUCCAGCAAUUCUGUGUGCACGAUGAAGUUUUUCGGAAUGUAAAGUGCUUUCAGUUGGGAAGAAAGAAAUGACGGUACCAACAGAAGAAGUGACGGCUAAAUACGUGCCAGCAGCCGCGGUAAUACGUAUGUCACGAGCGUUAUCUGGAUUUAUUGGGCGUAAAGCGCGUCUAGGUGGUUAUAUAAGUCUGAUGUGAAAAUGCAGGGCUCAACUCUGUAUUGCGUUGGAAACUGUAUAACUAGAGUACUGGAGAGGUAAGCGGAACUACAAGUGUAGAGGUGAAAUUCGUAGAUAUUUGUAGGAAUGCCGAUGGGGAAGCCAGCUUACUGGGCAGAUACUGACGCUGAAGCGCGAAAGCGUGGGUAGCAAACAGG